CAAGGUUCAGAAAAAGUUUCUCAGCCCUGCAAGAGCAGGUGAAGCAGAAAAAAGACUGAAAGCAGAAUGUGCUUCCAUAAUGAGGGCCACCACCACCUCCUCUUCCUCCUCACCACCACCACCACCACAGCCAUCAACGUCACAAACUGUUGAGGCUGUUUCCCAAGGUAACAACCUGUGGCGUCGCCUGGAUGACAGCGUCAGGCAAACACAAACACAGAAUGUGAUAGCAGACGCAGAUAUUGAGGUCCAACGCUACAUGAUGGAGCCAAAUAUUGGAAGGCUGGAGGACCCCCUUCAAUACUGGGAGAGACAGAAAUAUGUCUAUCCCCAUUUAUAUAAGUUAGCAGUGGCAUUCUUGUGUACGCCUGCCUCAUCUGUGCCCUGUGAGCGGGUGUUUUCCAAAGCAGGAGAAAUAUUGUC